rnacentral:lncRNA from 1 species
CUGAUAAAAAGCAUGAUUUGAACUAUGGUAUAUGUUAAUAUAUAUCAGACGACAAACUUCAUUUUCAAAAUGAUUGGUGUCAAUCAAUAAAACAUGUAAGUCACACAUGCUUACUUUUAAUAGCGCCUCAUUAUAGAAAAGAGGCGACAUAUAUAUACCAGAGGGAUAUUCAACCUCACAAUCGAAAACAAACUGACAACGCCAUGACCGAAAGACGAAAUAACCAACAAAUAGACAAGAGCACAGAAUACACAACAUUAAAAACUUAAGACUGAGCAAACAAUAGUCGCACUAACUGUGGUUGUUCUCAAGUGCAAGGGUAAGCAGAUCCUGAUCCACAUGUGGCACUCGUUAAAUAGCACAGUUUAUCCUGUUCCGUUUGUCAUUUUUAAGUUUAUAACAUACUUAUACUAGAACUAGUUCAGACUCAAAAAGCAAAAACAACCAUAAAAUAUCAAAAC